AAUCUAGAGAGAUGGUUUAUUUUUCCGCUAGUAAAAGUGAAGAGAGCGAAUCGGACGUUCAUCGCUUAAAGAUGCAGUAAUUUAGCAGCAUCAUUUUGCAUAAUAUAUACAUUUUUGCGAUAUCCCUGAGAGGGCAAGUCUGGUUUCAGCAGCCGCGGUAAUUCCAGCUCUCAAAGCGUAUAUCGUCAUUGCUGCGGUUAAAAAGCUCGCAGUUGGAUCUGCGGCUCCGCACCUGGUCCGCCCACUGGGCGAGAACUGGGCUCCUGGGCUAGUUCUCCUGGUUUUCCCUACGUUGCCUUCAUCGGUCGCAUAGGGUGGCUAGCGACGAGUUUACUUUGAAAAAAUUAGAGUGCUUCAGCCGGGCUUAUGUCUGAAUGCUUGUGCAUGGAAUAAUAGAAUAGGAUCCCGGUUCUAUUUUGUUGGUUUUCUGAUCUGAGAUAAUGGUUAAGCGGGACGGACGGAGGCAUUCGUAUCGCUGUGUGAGAGGUAAAAUUCUUGGACCAUAGCGAGACGUCCGAUUGCGAAAGCAUUUGCGAAGAAUGUCUUCAUUAAUCAAGAACGAAAGUCAGAGGUUCGAGGGCGAUCAGAUACCGCUCUAGUUCUGACCGUAAACGAUACCAACUAGCGUUCCGUCGGCGGUAAAUACGCCUUGACGGGCGGCUUCCCGGAAACGGAAGUCUUUCAGUUCUGGGGGAGGUAUGGUUGCAAAGAUGAAACUUAAAGGAGGGGCACCACCAUGAGUGGAGCCUGCGGCUUAAUUUCACUCAACACGGGAAAACUCACCUGGCCCGGACACCGUGAGGAUUGACAGAUUGAGAGCUCUUUCUUGAUUCGGUGGUUGGUGGUGCAUGGCCGGUCUUAGUUGGUGGAGUGAUUUGUCUUGUCUGGUUUAUUCCGAUAACGCGCGAGACUCUAGCCUAUUAAAUAGUCAUCGGAUAAACAAGUCCGGCAGACUUCUUAGAGGGACAAGCGGCAUUCAGCCGCCUGAAGUUGCGCAAUAACAGGUCUGUGAGGCCCUUAGAUGUCCAGGGCUGCACGCGCGCUACCCUGGAGGAAUCCGCGUGCUGUAACCAUUGCCGAAGGGUAUUGGUAACCCCUUGAAAAGCCUCGGUGAUCGGAAUCGGGAAUUGGAAUUAUUUCCCUUGAACGACGAAUUCCUAUGAAAGUGUGAAUCAUCAGCUCACGUUGAUGACGUCCCUGCCCUUUGUCCACACCGCCCGUCGCUGCCGGGGACUGAGCCGUUUCGAGAAACGCGGGGACUGCUGUGUCGGGACCUUUCGAGGGGGAGAUUCUUUGGGGGAACCCGCCUUAAUCGCAGGGGCUUGAACCGGGCAAAACUCGUAACAAGGUUUCCGUAGGUGAACCCGCGGAAGGGUCAUUA
rnacentral:ncRNA from 1 species